CCUCUGCCUCCCAAAGUGCUGAGAUUACAGGCAUGAGCCACUGCGCCCUGCCAUCCCAUGAAUAUUUCAGCUGGAGCAGACAACAGCUUCAAGGUAAUGCCAAACUGAUAUAAGUCCCCCUUUUCCUGUGAGAAAGCCCCUGGACCUCUCGGCUGCUAGCUGAAUAGCAUUACAAGGCUUCAUUUUAUUUCCUUUGAAAUAACACCACCCUGCAUUUUAUACAACUGAAAUUGUUUAGACCCCCCGAUAUCACAAGAGUCUAAAAUACAGAGUUUUACUAUAUCUCUCUUAAAAUGUUCUAAUGGUGAAUACCUAAGAAUAUCAAGAAAAUUAAGAAGAUGUUGUUCCUAAUUAUGUUAUAUGCUUGACUUGAUGUUGCUUUGUACCCAGUUGAUAUUCAGUGUACUCAACAAACAGUAUGGUACCAGCCCCGCCAAUCGGAACAGACGCCUGAACCAUAAGAACGACCCUGUCCCACCUGCUGAAUGAGUGAGUGCCAGGGAUUAAUGCAGCUGCUACUGACAAAUACUAGAAUACUGCACGGUGCAAAGGUAAGUGAUCAUUAAAGCACUGUACGGUCUUCGAACGUUUUCAUCAGCAGUUAAAUUAUGACCAGUGGGUUUCAGAGUUAAAUGCAGUUUAGUAUAAUUGGAUUCACAGAAUAUGGAUUAAAUGGGUAUGGUAUGUGUAAUGUGAUGCUAUUGACCAGAACAUUUCAUUGAACAGGAGAGCCUAUUUCCUGAUUAUGUUAGAAAACAGAUCACCUAUUCCAUAUAGAUCUGCAUGUAAGAGUAUUUAGGUUGUAAUGAGAUAACAGCACAAGCUACUGUCAUGUACCCACCCAGCACAAGCAUAGGUGGGUAUAUGACUUGUAAAGGUGCUGACACUAUAGAUUAGAAAGCUGGUUUUGAAUCUUGACAUUUUAUAAGUGCUAAAUAUUUGAGUUUUACUGAGGACUCUAAUAUUUUAUAUAUAUAUAUUUAUAUAUUUGUAUGUGUGUGACUCAUACAAUCAAUAGAUCAAAACAAUCAAUAGAUUGUUUUCUAUUCUCACAUUUCAUUGUUCUUAGUUUUCCUAGCAUCCAUUAAAAAAAUGAACGUCUUCAAAUCUAAGUUCUUUCUCACGUAUUCUCUGUGUCUUCUUUAAAAAUCCAAUUCUGUGAGUAUUUUUUGAACACCUACUAUGUGACAAGCCAUCGAACUUCCUGAAACUUAGAGACUAGAGGAGGAUUUACACAUUGACCAAAUAACUGCAUAAAUAUAUGCCUACAAAUUCCAUUUAAGUGGUAUAAAAUCAUAUGACAGGGAGACUCGACUUACAUGACUUUAUCCACUGAGACCUGGAUGGAGGAUGAAUGAGAAGAGAUGGGUGGGAGGGGAAGGGGAAAAGCAUUUUGGGCAUAGGGAACAGCAUGAGUGAGAAGCAAGGCAUGGAUGAGGAGGGAGGAGCUGGACGUGAUUAGGGAGGGAGGCAGAGGGUAGGCUUCUAGAGCACAAGAGGAAAUCAGAACCGGGCAGGGACCAGAUCGUACAGGGCCUACAAGGCUGUGCAAAGGAUUCUGAUCUUGUGUGAGCAUCCCUCAACUAUCCUUUUGUUGAGCAUUUUUUGUUUUUGUUUUUGUUUUCGUUUUUGAGAGAGGCCAAGGUGGGGAGGAAAAAAACCACAAAAAAAUCCCUCCAUCCAGCCCAGGAAGGUCAUUAACAGAAUGUGUCCAACAAUACAUAAUAUUUGCCGCAUUGUUACCAGUGCACUGGAAUUAUACCUAAAGAUUACGUUACCCUUCCAAUAUAGCUCUUUUAAAUAAAAUCUAGCAUUUAUUUCAAGCCACUAUGGCUUAGUUCACAUUACAUAAAAUUUCUUAAUAAUCACCAUCAUUAUUACAUCAGGCACAUCUAAAUAAUAUAAUUAAUAUAACAGCAAUUAUAUUAACUACAUUAUAGUUAUAUUAGACAAAGGUUUUCAAUCCACCUACAUAGCUGUGUGAACUGCAAAAACCUAGAAUUAUGGAAUAAACAUAAAAAAUGGCUUUCUCUGCUUCCAGUCUCUCCCCUGCAAAAUACAAUGUUGUAUUAUGUUAAGGCAAACACAAAAUAAACCACUACUUGUAGAGAUACUUCCUUUUUACAUGUUUAUACUACUCUUGCCUAUCCUCCUUUAAAAGAAAAAAAUACAUGGUAAGAUGUGCACAGAAAACAUUUUCUAUCCUUGUCAUUUUGUAUAUCCUAGCACUGACUGUAUCCUUAGAAAACUGUCAAUAACUGAGUUCUCAUAUCAAAUCUAACUGACUAUCAGAUGCAAUUCCUGGAGGAAGACAUUUAAUUAGGACAGGUAUUCCAAGUUUUACAGAAAAAAGGGAAAAAAAUAGUUUCUGCUUAUACUUGGAUAUCAUAUAGCAAUGUUGAAUUCUAGUAAAUUUCUGGGCCAACCUCUGUUUCUGCUUUAAUCACUUGACUUGGUUAAUGUGGAGAGCGCGGCAGUUUCUCAGCCUGUUGUUUAUAAAUUCACUAUGUUUAUUUUCCUAUGGAAAUGUCUUCGAGAAAGAUGGAGAAAUUGUAUGAACUCACAUGUGCACAUAAAAAUAAAGGAACCUCACUGUGUCACUACUCAUAAUUCAGUGGUAUCAAAAAGGGUUUAAGCAUUUUAAUCUAAAAAAAAAGCCGUCAUUAUGAAGAGCUUUAAAUAUAAGGCGUGGAUGACCAAGGAAGAGUUAUGGUGAGGCUGUACUGAAAGGCUUGCCUUUGCAGUUGGAAACCAAGCUUCCGAGGACGGAUGCUCCUGGAGGAAUGGAUCAAUCAAUGCGUGACUAAUGGUAGUUUGCAUAAGGAGAACUCAUAAAAUUCACGCCCGCAGCGGCUGUUUUGCAGCGGCUGUUUUUGGCGCAGCUUCACACACACAGCCUUUUACUUCAUUGUCACAGCCCAGGCUAACACCUAAGCCACUGUCUGAAGCUGCACUUGGCUGCACCCCUAAAGGGCUCUCAUGCCAUAAACAAAGUGGUCCCACCAGGUGGCCGCUGUUGGGUGACAGUCAAGAUGGCUAGUUAGUGGUUCAUUUAGCAACUGUUUUACCUUCCCAAAAUUAUGUUCCCCUAUUUUGCUUCUGCUAAUUUCACUCUGGUUUGGCAAAGUCAAUGUGCUAUCUAGAAACAGCACGAUGUUUUGAUGCCACCUCUUGAGCGUUUUAGUCAUGAUCCUUCCUCUCUCUGGGGCUUCCCUAUCUGACUCUGCAGGCUCUGCCCCAUUGAGCCUCAGGCCCGCCCUGCUGGCCUUUUGCCUGCACUAACUGGGCAGUGAGGCAGUGUGACUUUCAUGGACGUUGUUUGGUUUCAGUUUCCCAAACUAACUUCCCUUCUCAGUCCCUGAGAUGUCUGGUUAAGAGCUGUUAAUGGAUUUCCUCAUUCAUACUGUGCAUCUUUUGAGCCUGGCUGUGAUGACCCUUAGAAAUUCUUCUUGACUUCCUGAUGAGUCACUAAAACUAUGUCUGAGUUUCAAAAGUGGCUCUGACCAAAGUUUUCAAUCCACCCACACAGCUGUGUGAUCAGCAAAGACCCGGCAUUAUCAAAUAAACAUAAAAUAACUGCUCUCUCUGCUUCCAGUCUCUCCCCUGCAAUUCAGUCCCAGGCAGCUGCUCUUCCUGGAGUAUAUUCAUGACCAUUUUACCCUCUUCCUUAAGAACUUAAGAAUAAAGUUCAUUAUCUGCAACCUGGCAUUCAAGGCCAGCAACAAUUGGGCUCCAACUUGCUUUCUAAAUGCCCGACUUUACCCCUUCACAGACAAGCCCCCCAUGCCCAGUUGUGAGCCCCCACCCCCAGGCUGGGUUUUUUUAAGAUGUGUCUGAAUUGUACAUUCCAGGUGAAAUGCCAUGCGUUCCACGAAAUCCUUCUCCAUACUCCCUGCCAGAGGUCAUCGUUGCUUCAACUCCUGUAGUCCCUGGUCAGCAAGUGUCUUAGCCCCUUUCCUUUAUAGCUCCAGUAUUUGUGUGUGUGUCGUAUCUCCCAGAUGGCAGGCAACGUGAGGGCAGAAUCCUCAUCUUGGCCAUUUUUGGAUAAUCACCAUGCCCAUUCACAAGCAACUAAUAUGGUGCAUGUAGUAGGCAUUUCAUACAUAUAUGUGGAGUGAGAGAAUGCCAACUUGUAGCUACAACAGGCGGCUGCUCGGAGUCAAAAAAAGACUCCAUUGGUGUGUGUGUGGACCAUCCCAGCACUCUGCAUCUACCACCCAUGAUAACAGUGGGCAGGUCUCACUUGAUUGAUGUCAUUAAGCAUAAUAUGGGUAGGGAGAACAUAUAUGUGUUCUUCAAAUUUCAAUAACAGAGACUGGAGGAAUAUUUAUGAGAUUUUUACAUUCUUACAAUUUUACUUCUGUAGAAUAAGGUACUCAUGGUAUUUUGUGGAGUUUUAAAAAUAUGAAAAAGCACAGUAACUCCCUGUCUAUCCUUCCCAGGCUCACCUUAGCAAACAGACGUUGGUUGAGCCCCCAUUAAAUGACAGGAGCUGAGGAUACAAAGAAAAACCAGAUAUAGUUCUGCUGUAAGGAGGCAUAGUUUAGCAGUGGAGCCAGAAAUGUCUACAAUAAAAGUAGGUAAUAAGUGCUGUAUUGUCCUUAUGAACAGGGCACUGUGCUGCUACAGAGAAGGAAUUAAGUUUGCCCGAGUAAGGGAGAGUACUUUAUAGAGAGCCAAAUGUCAUGGAAAGAGCGCUGGAGUUAGAAAGACCUAUGUUCUAAUCUUGGCUCUGCUACAUUCUAGCUCUAUGACCUUGGGUGAACUAAUUAAAUUUUUGAAACUUGGUUCUGUAGCUGUAAAAUGAGGAUAUUAUCUUCUAGAGUCUGUGUAAAAAUGGAAAGGGAUGAUGCCUGUAAAGUGUUUCCUAUAGAAUUUGGCAUAUAUUAGCUACUCAAUAGAUUUUAAAAAGAAAAAAGUGGGAGCAUUUGCAUUAAGGGGUCCCUCCAGGUGUGGCUUUGAAGUGGAAAGACCAUGUGGCUUGAAUGUUGGUCGAGACGUAUUUGGGGGAAGACUACCCUGUCUACCCUUUUUCUUAGAGAACCUCCUCCCUCCACAGACUUGCUAAGGGGUCCGUGGACCCAAGACUCUGUCCCUACUUUUCCCUUCUCUAUGGUGUAACUGGUACAAUGAGGAAGUCUAAGUCUAUCUUUAGGGUGGUUAAUGUGAUAUUAUCCCCCUCUUCUUCUUUCAUUUAAUUAUUUACUAAACAUCUACUAUGAUCAGGCACUGCACUAGUGGCUGGAUACAGCCAUAACAAAACAGAUAUGGUCACUGCCAAAACUAGAGAGGGAAAUGGAUAUAAACAUAGAAAUUAAAAUAUAUCACUGCAACUUGUGCUAAGUGAGUGCUAUGAAGGAAGCAAUCAGAACACAGUGACAAUGAAUUACAGUGGUCAGGAAGUGGCCUGGCUAGAAAAGACAAAGUGAGCCAAUUAGACCCUCUGCCUUGAAGGUCGGAGCUAUUCAACACAAAGGGAGAGAAGCUGGAGGGCAGAUGAAGAGAGGCUGGACUUACAGCUGCCUCACUUUCUCGCAUUCCUGUUCCUUUAACUUUUCCUGAAGUCUCAUGAGACGCUGCCAGACCUUUAUAAUAAUAACCUCUCUCUCUCUUUUUUUUUUUUUUUAACUUGUGCUAAUUUGAGAGGGUUUCAUUUUCUAGAGCAAGUAUGGUAUGCCUGGAGACAACAUUAAUAGCCAGGGCUGGAAAUAAAAAUAAUAAAGCUAAAUAAUUAAUCCCGAUUGGCAAAGGUGAGAAAAGGAAGAUUUCAAAGAUAAGUCCCAUUAGAAUGUACAUGGCAGCUGGGAGAAGAGAGGCCUGAGACCUUUGCUCACACACUUCUUCCAACACUGACGUUGCCACCAUUAUUUACUUAUGUGACUUCUUGUUCUACUGAGUGACAGGGAGCAUAUCUUUAUAUCCACAGGGUCUAGAGCAACGGGUGGCAUUCAGUAGACUAUUCAUAAAUGUUUGUAGAAUGGAUGACUGACUGAAUGAGUAAAAGGAAGCAGGGAGUCCAGGAAGAUGGUUACUGACAUAUUCCAGUUUUACUUAUCCAUUUUUAAGUGCAUCUCUAAUUAAGAAUUAAGUAUUACACACUAUUAAAACGCUUAAUGGAUUCAAGCCCAAAAUGUAUGGAGUGCCUCCUGGGUGCCAGGCACAGCAUAUGGCUGGCUCAUUCCUUAAGAAGCCUGCAAUCUUGGAGGUGAGCUUAACCUUAUCCCCUAUGAUAAGGACAGCAAUCAAGCAGCCAGCAACCUCCUCCUCACACCAAUGGGAACUGGAGUUAUUUAUGGGUUUGCCGUUCCUGCAACUUUGAAAGGAGUUUUAUAAUCAGCUUUGGUCACAUUUCUCAAAUGCUGAGCCAUUCAGAGAUGCCUUAAAAACAGCUCAUCUGUGUACGCUUUGCUUCACUUGCUGGGCCACUAUCUACACAGUAAUGGAGGUAGUUUUCCUAUGAAUUUUCUUGGGGAAGAAAAUACUCUUUGCAAACCAGUACCUUUGCAUCAUGGAUAAUUCCAUAAUUUAAUUGCCUUUUCUAACAUCUACUUCCUGCCAGCAAAAAAUAUGCAUGAGGUGUUGUCAUGUUCUACUUGGCUGACUUUUGGGGAAUUAACACCAGGGGUACAAAUCAAAAUUAACUUUUUUUUUUUUUUUGGCAGGAAACCAGGAGGAGAAAGAAUAAUGCAGAUUUGAAGAUGGAAAAAAGAAACAGUUUUUAUAGAAUUAUGGGAAGUAAAAGUGGGGAGGAUCUUAGAGACGGUCUAGUUGUGGCUUCUCGAACUUUAAAAUACAUUCUGAUCACCUGGGGAUUUGAUUGGGAUGAAGAUUCUGAUUCAGAGGCUUGGGGUGGGUCCUGAAUUCUAGAUUUCUAAUCAGCUCCCAGUUGAUGUAAAUGCUGCUUGUCCAGGGAUGUGGUAGGCAGAAUAAUGGCCCCCUAGACAUCCAUGGCCUUAUCCUCCUGGAACAUGUGAACAUGUUAGGUUACAUGGCAAACUGAAUUUGCAGAUGGAAUUGAGGUUGCUAAUUAGCUGACCUUCAAAUGGGGAGAUCAUCCUGGAUUAUCUCAGUGGGUCCUUAUAAUUUGAGGGAGAUGGAAGACAGUCAGUGUGACAGUGAUGCAAUGAGAGAAAGGCUUGGCCAGCCUCUCCGGGUUUGAAGACGAAAGGGGGCCACGGACCAAGGAAUGCAGGCAGCUUCUAACAGCUAGAAAAGGCAAGGAAGAUUAUUCUUCCCAGGGUUCCAGAAAUGAUACCUUGAGUUCAGCCCAGUGAGACCCAUUCGGACUUCUGACCUCCAGAACUAGAAGAUAAUCAAUGUGUAUUGUUUUAAGCUGCUGAAGUUGUGGCAGUUUGUUACAGCAGCAACCGGAAAUGAAUGCAAUGGACCACACUUUGAGAAACAAAGGCCUACUCUUCUCUUCCUCCCUCCUUAUAAGAAGAUGUCUUUCCCUAACCCACCAACUAUCACCUCUUAAAAAAAUAUGCCUUCCAGAUGGCAACCCUCUCCACAAAGGUUUGGGGGGAUUGUAGCCAUUCACUCAUUCAAGCCACAUUUUGUGAGGGAAAGUGAAAUGAAUCUGACACAAUCUUUGCAUCCAACAAGCUGACAAAAGAGUAAGGAAAAUAAGGCAAAGUCAUCAAUAACUAGCACAUCAUUCUGGUAACAAUGUCCCCUCAGAAUCUUACCUGCUCUCUAUUCUUUCUUUCAUUAAUCUGGACAGGCUCCCCUGUCUUUCACCUGGACUCUGGAAAAGGCCUCCUAAUGGGAUUCUCUGGCUUAGUUUCUCCUCUCUCCAAUCCAUCUUAAAACAGUCAUUGCACAAUUAAUCUCCCCAAAGUGCAUGAGCAUGUUCACUGAUGGAGGGAAUGAGAUGGCAGUGAGAAAGAAUUAGAAGAGCAGAAGAGAGGAGAUAAAUUAUGAAAUGAGUUUCCACCAGAAAUAAGAGAAACAUCAUCAAAACCCAUGUGGAAUGGAAGGGAGGUUCUUCUGUUUUUCUAAGAAUUCAGAGAAAGGAGAAAAGGAGAAGAAGGGAGAGUGAAGACAUAAUAAAAAUUUCAGAUUGUGAAGGGGAAAAUUUAUGGAAACCAUUCCUCCGCAUAAGAGUUUUAGAAUUCACUUUGGGGCUUAAAAAGUGGAGAAAGGUUUAGAGCUGCCUUUACUGGAAUGAGAUAGGAAAUGAACUUGAUGAACGCGGACUGCUGAGCAGGCCUGUGAGUCCACGGUGCUGGACUGCACAGAUCUGUUACGGUGCCGAUCGGCAUGGCUUUCCCCAACAAUUCUCAACAAGCCAGAAGCAGGAGCAAAGGAACGAUCCAUGGUUACAAACUGUAAGAAAUGUAGUGGUAGAUUUUAGGGCUCUGAAACACAGGGGCUGCAUAUCACUAAGGUGGCUGAUGAAGGCAUCUGUGGUCUAUAAAGGGGGGGGAUGAAUUGGAAGACUAGAGAGAGGCUAAGGGAUGAGAAAGAACAGAUGUUAAAGACAGUUAGAAGAUGAGAAAGGUUGAUGAUAAGGACAUGCUCAGAGAAAGGAUGUUAGACAUUGCCAGUCUGUGGUCCCAGUCCUGCCUGCUGGUGUGUAAGUAUAACCCCUUUUCUGCAGUCCAGCCCUUUGCUUUUUAAAAAGAACUAAAGUGUUCUCCACAAUUCCAUCUUUAUAGAGUAAACAUGCUCUUUUGCAAUUUUU